ensembl:rRNA 5S_rRNA 5S ribosomal RNA
AUCUACAGUCAUACUACCCUGAACAUUACUUGGUCUCAGAUGGUAAGCAUUUGGAUGGGAGAUCAACUGUGAAUACUGGUUGCUGUAGGAU